rnacentral:RNase_P_RNA from 1 species
GAAAGCAGGUGAGGUGAUCGCGACCGGCUCCGACCCAUGGGAGUUCUCUCCAGUGGGCCCUGGGGAUCCGGUUGAGGAAAGUCCGGGCUCCCCAAUGGCCAGGCCUGCUGGGUAACGCCCAGUGCGGGAAACCGUGAGGAGAGUGCCACAGAAACACACCGCCGAUGGCCCUUCGGGGCACAGGCAAGGGUGCAAGGGUGCGGUAAGAGCGCACCAGCGGCAUCGAGAGGUGCCGGCUCGGUAAACCCCAGCCGGGAGCAAGGCCAGGGCUUCGGCCCACGGAACAACGGUUGGCCAGUUGUCCUGUUCCGUUUUUUGCGCCGCUGGAGGCCGUCGGCAACGGCGGUUCGAGAGAGAUGAUCCACCCCCAUCGCCCGACCGGCCUGUGCCGGGGGGGGCGAUGGGAACAGAACCCGGCUUACGUCCUGCUUUCCCCC